rnacentral:lncRNA from 10 species
GAAAGAACCAGGAUUAGACCACAGAGCCCAGUCAGAAAUUUACUUGGUGGCUGGUGGUGGGGUCACUUAGAUGCUGAUAUUUCCCUGGGAUGAAGGUUGAUUUGAUAAUCUGCAUGAUUUGAACAUCCUAAUUUGGUCUGUGAGCCUCUGUUCCAUGACAGAACAGCUUGCCUGGUACUUGGAGAUUCCCAUCUUGUUGAGAAUCCUGUAGACUGGCCACGCUGCCAACUCCCUGCAGGAGGCCUCCAGGGAGCACCAGACCUGCUGCUCCCUCAAGUUCCCUGGGAUUUUUACUAAGAAUCACUUGUGUCUGGUCUCAAAUAUGUUUAUGACAUUUGUAUUUGUUAUUGUAAUUUUGUAUUUUAAUUAAAUAUUAUGUAAUCAAAAUAAUGAGUGGCAAAAGCUUCUAUAUGAACUAAGGAUGAAUACUUUGCAAAUACUCGAUAAAGGCAUGUUGUUAAAAAAUGAGUACUGUCUGAUUAGGUAUAUACAAUAGGCCAUUCUUGCAUUGCUAUGAAGAAAUAUCUGAGACUGGGUAAUUUAUAAAGAAAAGAGGUUUAAUUGGCUCACGAUUCUGCAAGCUGCACAGGAAGCAUGGUUCUGGCAUCUAUUUGGCUUCUGGGGAAACCUCAGGUAGCUUACAAUUAUGGCAGAAGGCGAAGGAGGGGCAGGCAUCCCACGUGGUGAGAGGGAGUGUAGGGGAGAGGGAGAGAAAGACAGAAAGUGCAAGAGAGAAAGUAUGAACACAUUUCUAAACAAUCAGACUUCCUGAGAACCCACUCAUAGCAACAAGACAUGAUGGAUCUGCCCCCAUUACUCAAACACCUCCCACCAGGCCCCGCCUCCAACAUUAGGGAUCACAAUUCAACCUGAGAUUUCACGGGGACAUAUAUUC